GGGCAAAUAGCGUAGGGGUUAUCGCGUUCGCUUUGCAUGUCCCUGUUGGGCUUGAAGAAAAUUUGCUGCGAAAGGUCUCCGGUUCAAAUCCGGAUUUGUCCA